CCAGACUCCUACGGGAGGCAGCAGUGGGGGAUAUUGCACAAUGGGGGAAACCCUGAUGCAGCGACGCCGCGUGAGUGAAGAAGUAUUUCGGUAUGUAAAGCUCUAUCAGCAGGGAAGAAAAUGACAGUACCUGACCAAGAAGCCCCGGCUAACUACGUGCCAGCAGCCGCGGUAAUACGUAGGGAGCGAGCGUUGUCCGGAAUUACUGGGUGUAAAGGGCGUGUAGCCGGGUUGACAAGUCAGAUGUGAAAUCCUGCGGCUUAACCGCAGAACUGCAUUUGAAACUGUUGAUCUUGAGUACUGGAGAGGCAGACGGAAUUCCUAGUGUAGCGGUGAAAUGCGUAGAUAUUAGGAGGAACACCAGUGGCGAAGGCGGUCUGCUGGACAGCAACUGACGGUGAGGCGCGAAAGCGUGGGGAGCAAACAGGAUUAGAUACCCGAGUACA
rnacentral:rRNA from 1 species